GACCUCAAAUCAGGUAAGAAUACCCGCUGAACUUAAGCAUAUCAAUAAGCGGAGGAAAAGAAAAUAACAAUGAUUCCCCUAGUAACGGCGAGCGAAGAGGGAAUAGCUCAAAUUUUAAAUCUGUUGGGUCUUACCUAACCGAGUUGUAAUUUGAAGAAGCGUUUUCAGCGUGUUUGAUUUAGCCCAAAUCCUUUGGGAUAGGGUAUCAUGGAGGGUGAGAAUCCCGUCCGGCCUAAUCAAAUGUGCAUUACGAUACGUUUUCUAAGAGUCGAGUUGUUUGGGAUUGCAGCUCAAAAUGGGAGGUAAAUUUCUCCUAAGGCUAAAUAUAGGCGAGAGACCGAUAGCGAACAAGUACCGUGAGGGAAAGAUGAAAAGAACUUUGAAAAGAGAGUUAAACAGUACGUGAAAUUGUUGAAAGGGAAACGAUUAAAGUCAGUCGUACUAACGGGGAAUCAACCUUUUGAGGGUGGACUUGUGGGAUUCAGAGAGCCUUUGUCUUUCACAACCUGCUUUUUUUGGGUGCAAUUUGUCGUAUUGUAGGUCAGCAUCGGUUUCGACCGUUAUAAAAUGACUGGAGGAAUGUAGCUUCGAUCUUGUAUUGAAGUGUUAUAGCCUUUGGUAGAUGUAACGGAUGGGAUCGAGGAUUGCAAUGAAUGCCCUCAUGGGCUAUCCGCCUGGCCUCUGACAUGUCACUCUGGUGCCGAAAGCUUGCUUAUGGUGUUAUAGUGUACGGUCAAAAGGUUAGAACGGAAUAAAUUCGUUAAGGAUGUUGACGUAAUGGCUUUAAACGACCCGUCUUGAAACACGGACCAAGGAGUCUAACAUAUAUGCGAGUGUUUGGGCGUUGAAACCCUUACGCGUAAUAAACGUGAUUUAGGUGGGAUCCAUUUUAUGGAGCACCAUCGACCGAUCAGGAUAUUUUUUGAUAGAUUUGAGUAAGAGCA
rnacentral:rRNA from 1 species